UAUGAAGAGGCCUGAGCACUGUCUCUGCAGAAUGCAGGCGGAUGCUGUACAUGUCAUAAUACGUAUCAAACAAUUAUCCAUCACGGAAUAAAGCCAAAAGGAUGCUGCUCAUCGAGGGAGCAUUGUCCCUUGUGCAAUCGUCGAUAGCGUCUGCAAGAAGUGGAUACGCAGUGCUCCAGUCGUGGCUUUGCACCAGCCGGGCAUGCGCUAAUGGCUAGGCCAUAAAGCGAGGAGGCGGCUGGCUGACACCUAGACUUUGUGAUGGCUUGGGGCCAAUACUACGGAGUAGUUCCCCAUUCAAUUACCCAAACAACGCUGUGCAAUAACUAUUUUGAUUAACUCUCUUGACUGAUCAAAGAAAAUAAAGUCUGGAACUGAGAAUGGACGAGAGAAAACACAUUUAUUCUUCAGCGCCAAUCAAUCGAAGUAUUCAUUUACUUCGGUUGUCACUCAUCACAAUCCUCUGCCUAAUCUGAUUUAUACCUUACCUUGAAUAUUCGCUGCUUCAUAAUGACCAUAAAUUCUAAAUUCUCAAUUGAUUCAAACCUGACCUUCAUAUUUUCAUCGACACAUUCAGUCAUUCUUUUACGGUUUUAAAUAUGAUAUCAAGCAUCACCAUCUCUCCAACACUCCGGUAAUGGCAAUAUUUGUGGUUAUAAAGCAGCCACCAGGAGCAAAGCGUAACCAAAAUAGAACAGCUGGCUUAAAAGAGCGCUCGCCUGCAACUGUGGCCUACCAUUUGUAGGGCGAGUGGUUGCCCAUGACAGUUCCAGCUGUCAUCAUCCGGUCACACAGAGGCUGCGGGCGGGCUCAAGCAUAUACGUACAGUACAUAGUAGAUUUCCUUUUCGUGGCUGAAGUGCCUGGAUCCUCGGGGCUUAACAUGAUAGCAUUUGCAGGUUUGGGAGGCAGUUGUAAAUGACAAGCAGCACACCAUCUGUGACUGGGCCGUACAGCGUUUGACAGCGUUUGACAGAAUAGGCACUAAUAGUGUCCAUGAGCCCGUAACAAAUAUAUCCGAGUGUUCCAAUAGCCUCGAGCUUCUUAACAGCUGAUUGAGAUCUGUUCAAAAUUGAAGAUACAGAGAGGAUAUACUUAUCUCUCUUAAAAAGAUUUGAUCAAGUCGCUGAUCUUUAUAUUAAUAUUAAUCC
rnacentral:sRNA from 1 species